AAAAGUGGAAAUAAAAAAGAUUUCUUUCGAAUAAUUCGGCCACUUUUCUUAACGAUUUACAAAAAAAAAAACAACACUCAAUUGAGACAUCCACUUUAAAAAAAAAUAUACAUAAGUCAUUUGGUUUCGUCGUCAUCGUCGUCGUUGUUGUUGUUGUUGAUGAUGAUGAUGAUGAUGAUUCACAACUAUUUCCACACACUAAAGCCGCCUAAAGUUUUGAGUGUUUUUAUUCGUUUUCUUGGUUUUUAUCCAAUUCCAAUUAUAUUUACUGUCUUUGAUGAUGAGAUGAUUCGAUUGUUUCUGUAUACACAUGAUGAUUUCGAGAAUAUGAUAUUUCCGAAACAAACAAACAAAAAUGGAUCGAUCAUUUUUAUGAUGAUGAUGAUGAUGAUGAUGAUGAUCAAAAUAUUUUGAAUUGUUAACAAAAUAUUAGAAUAAGAAAAAAAAUCAAUCGAUCAUUGCUGAUUAUGAAGAAGAAAAAAUGAUAAUUAUCGAAUCAAAUUCAAAUUCAAAUCCAAGAAAUGAAUUAGUUUGUCAUUCCACCAGUAGCCAAAUGAUGGACAACAACAACAAAAAAAAAACCGAAUCGAAUUCAUUUGAAUAUUAUAUUGGAUAUAUAUAUAUUUGGGUGCGUCCUCAUGAAUUGAAUGAUGAUGAUGAUAACCGUUACAAAUUUAACCGUAACAAAUAUACCUAAAUACAUGACAUGUGUAUAUGUUGUCCGAAUUAUAUUAACUCUGUCACCAAUUUACAAAUACCGUGAUUGGCGGCUCUCUCUCUUUCUGGUACCCAGG